rnacentral:rRNA from 1 species
GACGAACGCUGGCGGCGUGCUUAACACAUGCAAGUCGAACGGAAAGGCCCUGCUUUUGUGGGGUGCUCGAGUGGCGAACGGGUGAGUAACACGUGAGUAACCUGCCCUUGACUUUGGGAUAACUUCAGGAAACUGGGGCUAAUACCGGAUAGGAGCUCCUGCUGCACGGUGGGGGUUGGAAAGUUUCGGCGGUUGGGGAUGGACUCGCGGCUUAUCAGCUUGUUGGUGGGGUAGUGGCUUACCAAGGCUUUGACGGGUAGCCGGCCUGGGAGGGUGACCGGCCACAUUGGGACUGAGAUACGGACCAGACUCCUACGGGAGGCAGCAGUGGGGAAUAUUGCACAAUGGGCGGAAGCCUGAUGCAGCAACGCCGCGUGCGGGAUGACGGCCUUCGGGUUGUAAACCGCUUUCGCCUGUGACGAAGCGUGAGUGACGGUAAUGGGUAAAGAAGCACCGGCUAACUACGUG